CCCAGCCCAGCGCAGCACCGCGCAGCAGCGCGCAGGUUGGCCCCGGUACAGUGCGGGACACAAAGGCACCGCUCGGCACUGCCCCACACUUAGCGCCCGGCCCCUCGCACCCCCUGGCUCUGCAGCACUUAGCAAUGCCCACAGGGCUAGCCAAGCCUCACCAGAGGUACUUAGCAAUAUUGGAUUCCCAGAAAGCAGGUUCGCUUUCCUCACCGCCACCCCCGCCUCCCCGAACCAUCGCCUGCCUAUUUGCCACGCCAGAAAAGCCCUUUAAACUGCAGAGCACUGGGCUAAAAAGUGUUUGCUGAUCUCUUCGCCUCCACACCGCCUCUAAACGCUCGGAAAACCGGUGGAUGUAGGGCUGCCCCGCUUCGACAAAUACUCCGGCUUUAAUUGCCAGAAGCCCAGUUAAAAUUAUUUGACAUACUGUUAACCCCUAGGAACAAACUCGCCGUCCCGAGAUCCUUUCCUUUCUGCCUCGUACCGUCGCCGAAGGCUGAGACCCGGGGAGACCUAUUUUAAAAACGUGGUUAAAUUUUUACUAUUGUUGCAUGAAAGGGAUGAUAUAGAAAGCGGAUUGUACAGGGCAGAGACUAAAAAGUACUUCUCUGCCAAUAAAAAAUGCACACCCCACCGAACGAGCGCAGCCAAAGAAAACAGAGAAAUACGCCAAAGAAUACAGCACCUUUUGAGGCAUGGACAUCCCUCGGCUGUUGGGAAAAAUAAUAAAAGUUUUUUUGCUGUUCUGAUGCUCGAUUUCAGAAAAGAAACAUUUGGGUUCCGGCUGGAUUUAAUCACAACAGAAAAACAGCGGCAAAAGGCUGUUGUGGUGUCGGUGCUCUGAUGAAAUCAGACGGAGCUCGAGGUCUGUGCCCCAAUGGACAGGGGAGGCUGAUGGAAGGGAGACCGAAAUGCUGGAGAAAUAAUAUUUGGAUUUCCCCCCCAAACCCCCCUUUUCCUCUGCAGCGCCGUGGAAGUAUUUAUAUAUCCGGAGAAAGUUCUAUAGUAAAUUCUGGAGAUCUUCGGUAUUUAAAUAUCAACAUCGAUUUGUUUAUUUAUUGCUCAGCUUAUCAUAACUGACUCGAUAACAAAUCUAAUCAUGUUGCUUGCAGGAAAAAAAUAUUCUCAUUAUGUAUUUUCCCUACGUUAUAGUUAACUGAAGCAUUUGAAUUCGAGCUGUAAAUUCAACAUUAUCAAGUAAUUACUUUGUAGUGGAGUAAACUAAUUUAUUAGCA